GUGUCAGCAGCCGCGGUAAGACGAACCGUGCGAACGUUGUUCGGAAUCACUGGGCUUAAAGGGCGCGUAGGCGGGCCGGCCGGUCGGAGGUGAAAGCCCCCAGCUCAACUGGGGAAGCGCCCCCGAUACCGCCGGCCUCGAGGGGGGUAGGGGCGUGCGGAACUUCCGGUGGAGCGGUGAAAUGCGUAGAUAUCGGGAGGAACACCUGUGGCGAAAGCGGCGCACUGGACCACAACUGACGCUGAGGCGCGAAAGCUAGGGGAGCAAACAGGAUUAGAUACCCUGGUAGUCC
rnacentral:rRNA from 1 species